CGAUCGGAAAAGGUACCUGUUACAAGUCUGUGAGCGGAGAAACAAAAGCCCCGCCGCGGACACCCUCCCACUAACUGGUCUUAAUGGUAGGUUUAAUUUCCUCGGCUCCCUGAAAGGAAGGGCAGGACCGCCGCGGAAGGAGCCCGGCUGCGGGUAGUGGCGGCGGUGGGGAAACGACAGCUGUCGUAUUCAUGGUUAAUCAGGUGUGUCUGUCUUUGUGUCGCAUCUGUCUGCUACUGUUGCUGGGCCACAUGUGAAAGGGAGGGGGCCCUGCGUGUUCAAAGGCAGCAGCCUGACCUCUGCUUCGUCCUCCUCGGGGCGGGCAGCGUGUCUAUUUAACUUUCCCCAUUCUAGGAAGCUGUAAUUCUACUCCAUUAGCCCACCCUCGCCAUUUUGGCCUGACAGCCGCAAGCUGCAUCCAGAACGCCGUAAAUCUGCCCCAAGAAGGAGGCCUCUCCCUCCCGCUGCUUUUCCUGGGGAUGCCCUUCAGUCUCUCCGGCCGGAGAAAACCAGAAAGAGAGAGAAACACGAGAACACAGGGCGUCUUGGGCCGCCUCCCACCUGAAAUUGACCUGGACGCCGAAGGUCCGUUUUCCCUCCUGAGCUCGGGGCCCCAGGGCUUCCUGACGCCACGACCAGGACCCAGGACCAGGACGGCCCUUUGCUCCAGAUCCGCUUGUCUCACACACGCGGGUGUUUGCAUCAGAGCUUAGUCAUCCCCCUGGAGCCCUGUCCUCCUCCAGCGUCCCUGCAGCCCCAGCCUCUUCUCUGCCCAGGCCCAGGGGGCGAGGGCGGAGCGAGGGGGAGGCUCUGGCUUCUCUUUGGCACCUUCCACAGCCCAGCCCAGCCCAGCCCAGCCAGACAUGGCUGAGCAGCCAGAAUGGGAACAAGCCCACCAUCCACCUCCCAGCGCAUGAGGCUGUAUUAAGGCUCAGUGUCCACAAGUCUCCAGUGGGAGGGAGGCUCCAACUGACCCCUCCUACCAGUGGUCCUGGGGGCUCCACCUCACCCCUUUGAAAGUCCUUUGCUUCCAGCCCUUCUGUUUCCAGCCCUUGUGUUUCUUGGAGUAAAUGGUAGUCAUCAGCCUUUUCCAGGCCAAGGAACUCUCACUCAGAUUUUGAUUUUCCUUGAGAGUCAGCCAGGGUUCAGCAGAGUUUGCCACUUGCAAAUCUAUUUUUGUUUAAGCUACUUCUCAGUACAGGCACAAACUUUCACUCCAUCGUGUUAAUUUUUCUUAUGAGAAGGCUGGAGUCAGGCUCUACUGACCUGGUGCUUUUGGUGUGUGUGUGUGUGUGUGUGUGUGUGUGUAGAUCCAGCUGAGUUUCUUUCAUCCAUGAGCCUGUAUGGGCUGCCAGGGCUGAAUGAUUAACCUGCAACUUUGGGUUCAGGAAGCUCUUGUUUCCUUGAUACUGAAGGAAUUUGGGAAGCCAUCCUGUUGCCUUGUGUGCUGCCAUUUUCCUCUGCUACUGCCUGGAUCUCCAAAUUUCGGUGAAGUCAGUAGGUAAAUAUGAAGCUCUCACUAGAAGCCUAGCAUUCUGCUAGACUCUUGUGAGGCCUUGAAGAACAUAUCAUCUUUGAGAGACCAAGGAUUGUAUGAAUAAAGGAAUAAAUAACAAAAUAAGAUUGAAAAAGUUUUAAUAACUUAAAUCAAAGUCUAACAUACAUGAAGGAAAAUGCACAAAUCCUAAACAUACAGCUUGAUGAAUUAUCACAACUAAACACACUCCUGUUACCACCGUCCAGAGCAAGAAACACAACUCUGGGCAUUUCCCUGGUGGCCCAGUGGGUUAAAGAUACAGCAUUGUCACAGCUGUGGCUCAGGUCACUGCUGUGGCAUGGAUUCAAUCCCUGGCCCAGGAACUUGCCAAAAACAAACAUUUUAAAAAGAAACGCAAUGUUAUUGCAGCUGGAAGCUUCUUAAUGUUCUAGGCAUAUGGGAACUUUGCAGUGUCUAAAACUUCUCUCCUGCAACACAGUUUGGAACUGAGAUUACGUUCUUAAUUACGUGGCUAUCGACGUUCAGCAAUGGGAAGGUUCCCACUGGCUGGAAGGGAUUUGCUCAGGGAGAUUUUGAAUGUGACCUGGGUUCUUUCUGAGCUUGGACUUUGGAGAGCCCAGGUUGGCUGGAUGUGUGGUGCUCAUGGCUCCAAGGAAGGACGUGGAAGAUUCUGGCAUCUUUUUAAAGAAACUGUGGUAAAGUAUACGUAAUAUGAAAUUUACCGUCUUACCCGUUUUUGCGUGUACAGCUCAUAGUGUUACUGACACUCAGAUCGCUUCUCAGCCAGCCCCCGGAACUCUUUUCAUCCUGCGGAUGGAAACUCUGUGUUGGCUGAACAGUAGCUCCCAGUCCCCUCUCUCCUCAGUCCCCGGCAACCACCGUUUUCCUUUCUGUCUCUACAGACUUGACUGCCCUUGGUACCUCGUAUCAGUGGAAUCCUACAGCGUUUGUCCUCUUGUGACAGGCUGAUGUCUUCGAGGUUCAUCCGUGCUGUAGGGCACUCAGGAUGUCCUCCCUCCUUGGGCCGAGUCCGGCUCCACUGUGGGCCUGGGCCGUGCUCAGUCAGCCCCUCAGCUGCGCGUGAGCAGGUGAGCCCCUCCUGCGUUCUUCUUCCGUGAGACUGCCGUGCACGAUGCUGCUGGAAUGUGGAUGUGCAACGAUCAUUUCAAGACCCUGCUUUCAGUCAUUUGGGGCACAUACUAAAAAGCAGAACUGUCACAUCACAGGGCGGUUUUGUUUUGAAGUUUCGGAGGAAUAGCCGUACUGUCCUCUGUAGCAGCAACACCGUUGCGGCAGCAGGUUCACUGGACCCUUUGCGCCUGCACGGCCUCUGGGGCAGCGUUACAGGGAGGGGGACGCAAGGGCUGGGUGUGCAGGGGGUGCUGGCGUAGGGGGGGUGCUCUGGACUCUGGAGGCUCUGGUCCCGGGGACUUGAGGGUGGAUGAGGCAGGAGAAGCUGGGGCCACAGCCGUUCCAUGGUUUACCCUGGAGACUCCAGUGAACAGAGUGGGAGUGAUUUAUUUUCCACAAAGAGAGAUGACUUUGUCUUAAUUUGUGGGAGAAUGGAGGGCCAGGGGGUUCCUGAUGACAAGGUACUAUUCAGAGACCUAACUCUGUUCAGCGUUAUCUCCUCCAGAUUUUAUGGGGCUUUAGGUAAAGGUGUUGGUGAGGAAGAGGGAGGGACAUGGCAGCAAUGGCACCAGUCUCUCUAUCCAGUAGAGACGGGGCAGGCAGGGGUGCUACCUGAAAAAAAAGCUGGUCCUUGGAGAGUUCCUGUUGUGGCUCAGUGGUAAGGAACCCAGCUACUAUCUAUGAGGCUGGAGGUUUGAUCCCUGGCCUCACUCAGUGGAUUAGGGAUCCAGCGUUGCCAUGAGCUCUGGUGUAGGUUGCAGACUCAGCUCAGAUCUGGCAUUGCUGCGACUAUGGCAUAGGCCAGUUGCCGAAGCUCCUAUUCGACCCCUAGCCUGGGAACCUCCAUGUGCCCCAUGUGUGGCCCCCCAAAAAAAGACAAAAAGAAAAAAGCUGGUCCUUGGAAAUACAAGUGCUGAACCCUAAUGCCAGAAAAACCCUUGUGUUGGAUAUUCAGAAACUUUUUCUAGCAAAUUUUAAGUGUUUCUGUGUUCUAAAUCUUGAUGCUUUUUUGCCAGCCUAGCCAUCAACAUGUGUUUGAAGUGGGCAUUCUGUGGGUCACGUGGGUAGGGAUCUUCAGGACUCAGAUAUGGGGAUUCAUUAUUAUCAAAAAGAAUAUACAUAAAAGAUUUGCUUCUUCCAAAUCCAUUAGCGUUGGACAUCUCCCAUUUUAUCAUAAAAACAAAGCAAAACAAAACCCACAAUUAGUCACGGUACAUAUUUGUUCUUAAUCUUAAGUCAUGUAUGGCUGGGAGUUCCUAUCAUGGCUUAGUGGUUAAAGAACCCAAUUAAGAUCUGUGAGGAUGGGGGUUCGAUCCCUGGCCUCGCUUAGUGGGUUAAGGAUCCGGUGUUGCUGUGAGCUCUGGUGUAGGUUGCAGAUGGAGCCUGGAUCCCGCAUUGCUGUGGCUGUGGUGUAGGCCAGUAGCUCCAAUUCUGUCCCUAGCCUGGGAACUUCCUUAUGCUGCAGGUGCAGGCCUAAAAAGCAAAACAAAACAAAACAAAGUAUUGUAUGGUUACCACCUAAAGUGUCUAAAGGAAAAAAAUAAAUGCCCUACCCCAAAGGGGAACUGUUAUUUAACAGUUUGUCUUUCUUUUCUUCCAGAACGUUCUACAUACAUUAAGCACAAACAUAUCUGUGUUUCUAUGCAUGCAAAUAAAUGCCUGAGAUAGCUCAGUCUAGUUUCUACUAGUCCAAACAUUACUAAUAUCGAUGCACAGGUAAUAAUGCACAAUAAAUGCUUUACCAUGCUAAGCUGCUGUCACAUAUUGUUGAAGCUCAACCACAUUAUUUAAAAUCAGUAUUAUUCUCAUUUAACAGAAAAGAGGUUGAAAAGAUUAAGACACUUGUCCAAAUGCACACAACAUGUUGGAAGUGGAAUUGGGACAAGAAUCCAGGUCUUUGAAAUAAAUUCCAGUCCACCCGUCCUUCUCCUCCACCAUCACUGGCGGCCAGAUAUCACCUUACAGAAAGGUUCAGAGAAGCUACCAAGUCACCAUCUUCAUAAAACUUGCUAAUCUUGAUCUCUCCUCGGUGUCAGUUUAUAUAUUUAUUUAUUUAUCUUGGCUGCACCUGCGACAUGUGGACAUUCUCUGGUCAAGGGUCAAACCCACACCACAGCAGUGAUCCGAGCCGCAGAAAUGACCACUCUGGAACCUUAAUCUGCUGAGCCACUGGGGAACUCCUCCAUGGUGUCAAUUUAGAAAUCUUUAAUCUUACACUUGUGCGUGCACUGAACUCAUUUAUAUAUAAAUAAAAUAAGAAUAGAGUUUAUUGAAAUAGACAUUAAUAGAAUCUUAGGGAAGACAACUCUUAGAAAAAAUGUUUAGUAUUCAUGGUGUGUGUGCAGCAGCUUAUUUAAAAAGUUGUUUUGAUAAGGUACGUGCCUUGAACGCCUACUAUAGGGAUUUAGAAGACGUAAAAUAGUGUAAUCUUCUUGCCCAACUGAGUUUUAGGUCAAACGGCAAAAAGGUGUUGAUCUGCCUCCUUGAUAUAGAAUGAUAACUUUUUUUCUUGCUGAGUUUUUUUAAAGUACAUUAGUUAAUUAAGAACCAUUUAUCUAGAGAUAUGUUUUCUUUCUUAUCAAGUACACACUGAGAACGUGGCCAUAGAUGUUACAUAGCAACAGAAAUGCCUCUGUGAUUUUGGAGGUGAAUUCUUUUAAUUUUCUUUUUUUAACCUCACAGUUGCUGUAUAGGGAAUUAUUGAUAGUUCAUGUUUUAUUUCCUUUUGUUAUAAAAUCUUCAUAGUUUGCAAAAAUAAAACUUAAGAGCUGUGUGUCCUUUAUUUCCUACUCCCUGUGAGAAAUGUUAAGAUAGAGAGAGAAGAUUCAGUGAUGGCUUUUGUUGGUGGAGAAAAUGCGGCUGGAAACUGGUAGAUAGGAGUGAGGAAGAAAAAAUUUCUUUAGUACUGUACUAGAUUCAGCUGUAGAGGAGACAGAAAUAUAACAAUGGCCUAGAAAAGGUAACCCGUAUUUCUCUCUUAAAUAAAAGAUGUUCAGAAUUAGCAGUCCAGGGCUGGUAGAGUUCCUCCAUGAGGUUUUCAGAUGUUCAGUUUCCUUCUAGUUCAUUAGCCUGUCAUUCUUAGAAAGCAACUUUUGUCUUUAUGGUCUUUAUUGUCCAAGAUGGCUGCUAGAGCUCCAGCCAUCAUAUUUGUAUUCUUUAAAAGAGGAAGAACAUCCCAGAAAUUCCAUACAGUACUUCAGCUUGUGUCUUAUUAUCUAAAACCUAAUUAUUUGGUCACUUAGCUGCAGGGUAGGCUGGGGAAUAUGGUAUUUAUUGUGGAUGGAAGUAAGCUGGAAUGAAAAUUGAUAUUCUCUUAUUUAAAAGGGAGGAGUGGAUAUUGAGAGGAAACUCAUAUUCUUUGACACAGUUCAUCCAUUUUGCUCCCCUCCCCCUCGCUCCCAAUACCCCUGCGUACCUGUCUUCUGCCUUCUUGUUACCUGGGUUAUCAUGAUAAUUUCUUGAGCUUCAGAACCAUCCUGCACCAAGAUGCAAACUUGGGAAUGAAUGCCACGCCCAGCAGAGCAAUAAGAUUCAAGUCACGUGAGUCCCCUGGCACUGUUUUGAUUAAGCCUUUUUUGUUAAGAUUUUGAUAGUUGUGUCUGGGCUUCAAUCUUAACUGAUACAAGUGUAAUAUAAACUUGGAAAGUGGCUUUCUCGUUAAGAUCAUAGCGAGUUUUGCCUGCCAGUGCAGAUGAACUGACCCUCCACCCAUCCAUCCCGGGCUGCUCUGUGCCCAGCACCAGGGAUACGAAGCUGGCUAAGACAUAGACGUACCUGGAGGAGCUCACACUCCAGCAAGGGACACACAAACCAACACCGUAAAAGCACUGCAGUUGCUUUAGUAGAAACCUGUAUGAAGUAGAGUGGAGCCCAGGGAUAUUUGUA
rnacentral:lncRNA from 1 species